AUCUACAUCUGUUUCAAGAUGCUAGUCAUUCCCGGAAACCAGAAAAUUUCUUCUAGAAAGACACGGGUUUUUUCUACAAAUUUAUGAUACAUAGAGAUAUAUCUUACCAGGGGAAUGCUUUUGUACACUGAGAUUUAUAAUAAUUUAUAAGCAGAAAGAAACCUUCUGGAAGGAAAUAUCAUAUUCUAGAUAAGCAUUCCGGCCUUCUGACGCAGAUUAUAAUCUCUUUACAUUCUAUUUUAAAGAAAGUUUAUAGAAGAUUGCUUCUAAAACCAAUUUUACUUAUUAAUAAAGAAUAUAUAAUUUAAUCUAAUUGUCUAAUAUCUUAUUUUGCAAGCAAUUAAGCGACUUUUCCGUUAUUUUAAAUACAGUUUAUAGUGAGCUUUAUAACACGCAUUCUAAAUGAAUCAAUUCGGAUGAACAGGUCAAAGUUCAAGGCGAGAUUGCUAUUAUCAAUUUUAACUGCCAUCCAUUCCUCCCUCUGCGAAACGUUACAUCAGCCGGAUAAAGAUAUAUUCUAGACGGACAUGUACAUGUAUAUACAUAUAUUCACACACCCGAAUUGCUGACUUCGCGAUGACGUUCGGCUCACUUUUUCAGAGCGCGGGGCAGAGAUUAUAAACUUUUCCAAACGAUGUUUAUUCGAUAUGUAUUUAAGCUUAUAUAUACAAGUUGAAUAUCAAAAUGAA